GACGAACGCUGGCGGCGUGCCUAACACAUGCAAGUCGAGCGGGGAUUUAAGUGGAAGUUCUUCGGAAUGGAGAUUUAAAUUCUAGCGGCGGACGGGUGAGUAACGCGUGAACAAUCUGUCCCGGACAGGGGGAUAACACUUGGAAACAGGUGCUAAUACCGCAUAAGACCACGGCCUCGCAUGGGGCUGAGGUAAAAGGAGCAAUCCGGUUCGGGGUGAGUUCGCGUCCGAUUAGCUAGUUGGUGAGGUAACGGCCCACCAAGGCGACGAUCGGGAGCCGGCCUGAGAGGGUGAACGGCCACAUUGGAACUGAGAGACGGUCCAAACUCCUACGGGAGGCAGCAGUGGGGAAUAUUGGGCAAUGGGCGAAAGCCUGACCCAGCAACGCCGCGUGAGGGAAGAAGGUUUUCGGAUUGUAAACCUCUGUCCUAUGGGACGAAGGAAGUGACGGUACCAUAGGAGGAAGCCCCGGCUAACUACGUG
rnacentral:rRNA from 1 species